rnacentral:rRNA from 1 species
CUCCGGAGGAUGCUCUCGUUCUCCGGAUUUAUUGGUUUUCCCUUUUUCUCCUUCUUUCUUUUCCUUCCGCGGUGAAAUUUUCAGGCUCAACCUGAACACUGCCGUUGAAACUGGGAUUCUUGAGUAUGGAUGAAGUAGGCGGAAUUCGUUGUGUAGCGGUGACAUGCUUAGAUAUAACGAGGAACUCCGAUUGCGUAGGCAGCUUACUAAGCCAUAACUGACGCUCAAGCACGAAAGCGUGGGGAUCAAACAGGAUUAGAUACCCUGGUAGUCCACGCCGUAAACGAUGAUUACUAGUUGUUUGCGAUAUACCGUAAGUGACUAAGCGAAAGCGAUAAGUAAUCCACCUGGGGAGUACGCCGGCAACGGUGAA